UAACACAUGCAAGUCGAACGAGAACGGAUUAUAGCUUGCUAUAAUUGUCAGCUAAGUGGCGCACGGGUGAGUAAUAUAUAGGUAAUGUGCCCUAGAGAAGAGGAUAACAGUUGGAAACGACUGCUAAGACUCUAUAUGCCUUUAAGACAGAAGUCUGCAAGGGAAAUAUUUAUAGCUCUAGGAUCAGCCUGUACAGUAUCAGUUAGUUGGUGAGGUAAUGGCUCACCAAGACAAUGACGCUUAACUGGUUUGAGAGGAUGAUCAGUCACACUGGAACUGAGACACGGUCCAGACUCCUACGGGAGGCAGCAGUGGGGAAUAUUGCACAAUGGACGAAAGUCUGAUGCAGCAACGCCGCGUGGAGGAUGACACAUUUCGGUGCGUAAACUCCUUUUAUAUGGGAAGAUAAUGACGGUACCAUAUGAAUAAGCACCGGCUAACUCCGUGCCAGCAGCCGCGGUAAU
rnacentral:rRNA from 1 species